CAUGGAGGUACCCAGUAGGAGGUAAUUUAAUCAUGGGGGCGGUUACCCUCAUGCUGUCCUCAAGACAGUGAGUGAGUUCUCAUGAGAUCUGAUGGUUUUACAAGGGGCUUAAACUCUUUUGCUUGGCACUUCCCCUUGCUACUGCCACAUGAAAAGAAUGUGUUUGCUUCCCCUUCUGCCAUGAUUGUAAGUUUCCUGAGGCCUUCCCAGCUGUGCUGAACUGUGAGGCGAAUGUGUCGCAGUUGGCUAUUGGGAAUGUCCUUCACAAAAAUCCACCUGACAUCAAAACGACCCUUCCAUUUGUCCUGGGACCACACACCUGCACAUGUGUUGUAGUCCACAGCAGAUUUCAUUUCUGCAGCGCCACAGAAGUGUCCACGGCUGUUGACACUGAAAAGGAAAAGGUUUGAAUUACCUUCAAAGGAGACUGUCAUGUGGCUUCUCAACACAAACAAUGGAAUGCAGAAAACAGAUAAUUAAAACAAUAAUUCAAAUUGCAGAAAGAAAAUACUCACCAAUAGAACUCCAAACUGAACAAAUAUAUCCUUCAGAAAGGUAGGUGAAGUAAUUUUAUGACAAACAAAAACUGAGAUAAUAUCACCAGAAGAUCCACACUAAUGGAAAUUCUAAAAGAUGUUCUUCAGGCUAAGAAAAUGUGGCAUGUAUAAGCAAUGGAAUACUAUUCAGGCAUAAAAAGAGAAUAAAAUCCUGUCAACUGCAACAACAUUGAUGAGCCUGGAGAACAUUACAUUAAAUGAAAUAAGCCAAGAAUAGAAAGACAAAAAACACAUGACUUCAUUCACUCAUAUGUUGAAUCUAAACAAAACUGAUCUCAUAGAAGUUGAGAAUAGAAUAGUAGUUACCAGA
rnacentral:lncRNA from 10 species